CACAAGAUUAGAUUUCCCUUGAGGGUCGUUGUAGACUACGACGUUGAUAGGCUACAGGUGUAAAGAUGGUGACAUCAAAGCCGAGUAGUACUAAUUGCCCGAGACUUUUGCGAUU
rnacentral:rRNA from 1 species